rnacentral:rRNA from 1 species
UUUCAAAUCAGUGAAAUUAAUCUCCCCGUGAAGAAGCGGGGAUACUCAUAUAAGACGAGAAGACCCCAUGGAGCUUCAAACCCAACUACACCCCUAGCUCUUAUAGCCCCACAACCCCCCUAGGCACCGUGUGCUUGGUUUUAGGUUGGGGCGACCGCGGAGUACAAUAAAACCUCCACAAUGAAUGGGAACACCCCCUUAUCUGAGGGCCACACCCCCUAAGAAUUAGAACACUAACAUAAAAUGAUCCAUUAUUUGAUCAAUGAACCAAGUUACCCUGGGGAUAACAGCGCAAUCCAUUUCAAGAGCCCCUAUCGACAAAUGGGUUUACGACCUCGAUGUUGGAUCAGGGUACCCCAGUGGUGCAGCAGCUACUAACGGUUCGUUUGUUCAACGAUUAAAACCCU